UUAGAAAGCCAGUCCUCUGAAAGCACGCUUCUGCUGACCCCGGCUCCUGUAAGGGCUGUUAAAAUGUAGACUCGGGAAGAAAUCCUAGCGAUGAAAAGUCAUGUGUGACUUCCACCGGGAUGGUCAGGCCCCUUCUUAGUCAACAGCAGAGGAAGGUCCCAGGUGCUCCCGCGGCUUCAGAAGAUCCCGACACAGCCCCCGCUCUGAGCUAAUUAAGGUCAAGGGUCGGGAAGGAAGGAAGGAAGGCGGAUCGGCUGGUUCCUUGCUCAGCAGAGGGAACAGAAACUCUUAGUUUCCUUCUCCAAGGCCGUCCACCCUUCCGCGCCUGCGUCUUCCAGAAGCCCCUCGACCUCCCUCGGCAGCGGCGCCUUGGUUUGCAAGGACAGACAGCAGCACUGGGAAACGCACGUCCAGUCCUGACGGUGAAUUUCCUCCCCAAGGGAUCACAGGUAGUGUGGAUAAGAAGCCUCCGCCUAAACGCUCAGCCUGUCAGACUGAUAGACGGUGACUCCACUGGCUGUUACCACACGUGAAACAUGCUUAGCUCUCAAGUCAGAUGCUUCUCACUUACAUUCUUAUAAAAAAUUAAGUGAUAAAUCUUGGACAGAUCCCUUAUCUUGGUGAUAAGGCAAACCAGAUUUUACAAAAGGAA
rnacentral:lncRNA from 1 species